CUCUUACUCUCCCCGUAAAAAAGACCAAUAGUACGCCGUACUCCCUCCUAUCUCUCCUCCUCCCCAUGGUUGUACGCUCUCUCCUAUCUCUCUUCCUCCCCAUGGUCUCCUCCUCCCCAGGGAAAACAAAUCAAUAUCUCUCAAAUUGGAGCAAGCAAAAUAGGGAACUGAUGGUUGGGGAAUUGAUCUGGUGCGCUCACGCCAUGGAAUCUCUCCUAUCUCUCUGCCUCCCCCCAUGGAAAAAAGAAAAAUCUCUCUCAAAUUGGAGAAACCAAGUUGGGGAAUAGAUCAGAUCGCAACAUGGCACUACCAAGCCUAUAACGCUAGCCUAUAAAUUAACUACAUCCUAACACAAACAAUCUCAACAUCAAGGAGGCUCCUGUCGGUCGUGAACAUCAUCGCUGGUGAAGUUUCUCCUGUUCGGUCAACUUAUUUUGUUUACCUUCAAAACAAAAUGGCAUACGAUAUGCUCCAUGAGAUUAGCAAUCAGAAGGAUUCCUGGAAAGUCAAGGUCAGAAUAAUUAGGCUAUGGGAUGCCAUUAAUCUCAACAACAAUGAACUUAUUAGCCUUGACAUGAUACUACUUGAUGAAGAGGUUAGCUUAAUGAUGAAACUUUAUGAAUUUCCAACAUAAAUACACUAUUAUGAGUUGUAAUAGUUACUAUAAUAUUGAUGCAUCUUCUCGCUGCACUGUAAUGUUUCACGGUACUAUGAUACAUGGCAAGGUAAUGAAGCAUAUGGUUAACAAGUUCAGACCAUUGAUCCAAGUAGGUUUAGUCUACAUGAUAGCAAAUUUUAAGGUUACGUCUGCAAUGAAUUUCCGUCCAGUUGAAAGUGAAAAGGUUCUAAAUUUCUUGCACACGACAAAAAUUCAAGAGAUAAGAGGUCAAAAAAAUAUCAAAAUAGCAGAACAAAGCUUCACGUUUUGUACUGUUGAAGUUCUUUCCACAAGAGAUAGCCAAAAGAUGUUCUUAUCUGGUAUGAUUAUAUUUGUUUCAAAUAUUAACUUCCAUGUAUUAUGCAUAUUAAUACCACUUUAUUAGCAGAUGUCAUUGGCAUAGCAAGUUACAUAGGACAUAUUGAAGAAACACAGACAACCCACGGGAUUUCAAAGAUUCGAGAUAUUGUGCUUCGAAUUGAGGAUCAAAAAAUUAAUAUUAGACUAUGGGGUAAUAAGGUUGGUCAAAUUGAUGAAGAUUCUUUGGGGCGUGUGGUCAUAGUAACAUCAACUACUGUUAGAAAACUGAAAGAGUACUCGCUGUCAUCUACAGGUGCGACCAGAGUUUAUAUCGAUUUGGAUAUCCCUGAAACAAAUGAGCUUCAAACAAGGUAUUGCUUGCAAGAUGAUAAGGUAGAGGAAAUAGAGCCGGAAGCCCACUUGCAAGGCACAAUUCAAGAACAGAUGCUCUAUAACAGAAGAACCCUAAAAGAAAUAACUGAAAUUACAUAUGAAUCUGAAAAACAGUAAAAGUUUUAUACUCCAGAAGCAAUGAUUAAGUCAAUUAAUACAUCAGAUGAGUGGUACUACAUAGGAUGCCGCAAAUGCAACAAAAAGUACUGAAACAAGGGAACCACUUCUACUGUCCGAAAUGUGAAAAAGAACCUGAGAAGAUAUGUCCAAGAUACAAACUAAAACUAGAGAUAUGUGAUCUAAGUGCAACAACAACUUGCACCAUGUUUGAGGCAGAAGCAAAAAAAUUGAUUAAGCAAUCUGCAAGUUUUUUGAUAGAGGGAUGAUUGUGAUAUCCAUGAGCAGACAAAACAAAUCCAAAAAAUAUGUGGGCAGAGAUUGAUUUUUCAAUUCAGAUUGAAUGACUAUAAUUUGAAGUACGGUUAUCAAGAAUACACUGUUCAUAGAAUCUUUUUCAUAGAUUUUGAAAAAGAUACGUCAGUACAUCAUUCAAAUGUUGAGCAUAUGGAGGAUGAUAAACCCAUUCUAAUAGACACUAAAAAGACUAGGAGGACUAGGAACACACGUCGAAGAAUCAGAAAAUCUGGAUAGUCAAGAGAAAGAUGAAUCCAUAUCUGUUGUUGAUAAGGAAUCUAAGAAAAGGAGAAUUCAAAAAGAUAGCCAUGAGCAAGCGGGCAAGUUAUCAGUUAUGAAAACUAUAAAGCAAGAACCAGAGGAUGAUGAACCCACUAUUAACCGGACUAAAAGGGGUAGGAGAAGUAGCACAGCUCAUGUUGUAGACCUUGAUGAAGAACCAAAAACUGAAGGUAGUCGGGAAAUAAUGAAAUCAAAAUCUAUGGAAGCAGGCCCCAAGAGGAAACGCGCCGUAACUCGCAAAUGUGCUGGUAUUGAUAACAAACAAGUAAACAAUCACCAUGAAGAAGAAUCAGAACAUGCGGGUACUCAGGAGCACAAUGAUUCAAGGCCUAGGACAAGGCGUAGUUGUGUCAACAAAGAAUUGAUGAGCAAAGGCAUUCAGAAGUGUGGUGUAUCAAGAACUCGAAAGUCAAAUCGUUGAUUAGUGGAAAUCCAGUUAUUUAGCAUGUAAUAGAACAUAUAGGAGCAUCAGAUUUGUACUUUAUAUGAACAUCAUUGUUUAAGAUUGGUUUUAAUAAAUGUAAAA